AGGCAGGACGAGGGAGUGAGCUGCGCAAAGAACACAUCCACCUGGGCUUGCUCCUCCGAACACCUUCAACACUCUCAGCCUCCUCUCCCACUCCGUUCUCCUCUUCUGAGCUUUCCCGAAUCACCAGUGCGUGGAGGCGGCCUCUCGUUCCUGUCCACCUCAUCACAGGCCGACACCCUAAUCACAGACAACGGAAACGGCUCCUGGACUCAGUGGGACUCUGACUGACACCCCUGAGAAGGCAGAGGAGGAUCAACAAUGUAACAUAGACCCUCUUUCUAUCCCCUUUGGCAAAUACACACGUCACGUGGUUGCUGUUGUCUGUCUUAAUUUGGAUGGUGUAAGUACUUGCCACUUCACUCAUCUCUCCCUCACCUUCCUCUUGAGAGA
rnacentral:lncRNA from 1 species